GUAUUGAUUAUAUAUGACGUAGUUGAUAGAAUUGAACGCGACGCAAUCGGAAAAGUCCAACCAAAUCGGUUUUAGUAAUAUUAGGUAAAGGGUGUAUGAUGUUUAUCAUGAGACGAUGCCCUACAGGAUAUUACGGAGAGGACUGUUCCUCAUCGUGUCCACAGAACUGUCAGGAAAGUCACUGUCACAUCGUGGAUGGAACCUGUCUGCGUGGCUGUGUCCCUGGAUACACCGGACCGACGUGUGAAACAAAAUGCAGUGAUGGCACGUACGGUCUAGAAUGCGGAGAUGUGUGUGGUAACUGUAGUGACGGUGAUUGGUGUAAUCACGUGAACGGAAGUUGUCCAAACGGAUGUGUCGCGGGGGUGUCUGGUGAUACAUGUGAUACCGCUUGUCCUUCUGGUUGGUAUGGUCCAAACUGCGCUACAGCAUGUGGUACAAACUGCAUCAGCUGUAACAGAUUUAAUGGAGACUGUGUGUUUGGAUGUAAGCCUGGAUGGAAAGGAAGAACGUGCGAAAAAGCAUGUGAUGGGAAUAUGUAUGGGGCGAAUUGUACAGAAGAAUGUGGUACUUGUCUGAACUCUGAACAAUGUAACCACAUCAAUGGAACAUGUAUAUAUGGAUGUGACAAGGGAUUCCAUGGAUCUGAAUGUAUUGAAGAAUGUCCCUGGGGAUGGUACGGUUAUAACUGUAACGAGACAUGCCCUUGUAAGUCAAAUGUCACCUGUAACUCACGUACGGGAAUCUGCAUUCUGGUACGUGAGCUUUCCGGUUCUACAAACACGCCGCCGACAGACAACGUUCCGAUCAUUGCUGGGGCUGUAGCGGCACUGGUCAUCGUCAUCGCUGUCAUUGUAUCCAUCAUCGUGUUCAAGAGAUUGAGAACACGCGUACCUAAGAAAGAUCAACCAAAACAAAGGAGGAGAGACAAAUCAGAAAUGGAAGAGAACUUGUAUUUGAACAAUGACGCUGCAAAGCAAGGCUUUACCAACAUUUAUGAGAACACAGAACCAAAAGAUAAGCCAGCUGCAAAACGCACCACAACACCAACAUCAUCAACUGCGAAAAAAUAUGACGUCAAAGAUGACGACGAGGACGAAGAAGGCAUUGAGAAUCCCUAUGGUGAUAUGUAUCUGAACGAAGAAACCAUAUUAGAUAUCCCAAUUAGUGAGCUUGAAAAUGUCAUCGCAGAAAAGAAGAAAAAUGAAGAAGAUGGUUUUAAAAGAGAAUAUGCGAUGUUGCCUCACGGAGAACAAUAUCAAUGUGAUGCUGGGAAAUCCCCGAACAAUUUUGCAAAGAACAGAUUUAAAACAACAUUCCCGUACGACCACUCCAGGGUCAUUCUGAGAGGGAGCGGCGAGGCAUCGUCUGACUACAUCAAUGCUAACUUCAUCAGUAGUACUGAUUCUGAAAACCAGUAUAUUGCAUCGCAAGGUCCUAAACAGAACACGUUAAACGACUUCUGGACGAUGAUAUGGCAAGAAAAUGUCUCACAAAUCGUAAUGCUUACAAAUUUAAAAGAGGGCGUCAAGAUUAAAUGUACCCAUUACUGGCCGGAGGAAAAAAGGGCUACACUUUACGGAAACAUCGUCAUCAAGAAUGUUGAGGAAAAACAAUACGCCUUCUACAUCAUCCGAAAACUGACGGUUUCCCUUAAAGAGCAAAACAAGUCACGUGUUGUUACGCAAUACCACUACACCACGUGGCCUGACCAUGGUACCCCGGACCCUCUUUCAUUGGUUGUUUUCCAUAGCCACGUGAUGAGGACAAUGACCAAUAGGAAUAAAUCACCAAUACUUGUACACUGCAGCGCAGGGAUAGGUCGUACAGGAACCUACAUUGCGCUGGAUGCUCUAUACAAGGCGGGUAAAGCGUCCGGUAAAAUCAAUGUAGCGGAGUACGUAAAGAUUAUGAGAGCAAACAGAAUGAACAUGGUCCAAACUUAUGAGCAGUACAUGACAAUAUUUUUGGCGCUAAACGAGGAAUUUAAAGCGGCUGUUGAGACACGGAGUCUGCCUGAGUUCACGGAGAGAGCCCAAAGUCUGGCUGGAGAUCGCCCAGCCAAUCAAACCGUCAUCAGAAAGGAAUUUGAAAAAUUGAUGAAAACACGACCAGAGUACACUGCUACAGAUUACAAUAUGUCUAGACAGCAUUUUGCAGACAAGAAAGGACAUACUAUACUACCAUUGGACAAGUACAGUCUUUACCUUACGUCAUCGGUCGCAAAACGAGGAAACUACAUCAACGCGAUCCAUGUAUCUUCCUACCAACAAAAUAGAGCGUUUAUAGUGACGCAUUAUCCGACACCAGAGGACGCUGUGGACUUCCUGCGCCUGCUCAAUGAUCAUGAAUCUGAUACAGUCAUCUGUAUGAAUCCAUUGCAUGAAAUUCAAUCGUCCAAGACAUGGUUACCAGAAGUAGCGUCCUCAAAGGACGUGCCGCCGUUUGUUGUAGAACACGAGUCUGAGAGUGACACCGGGGUCAAGGUCACAACCGUCAACAUCAUACACGGGAAGGAGACUUAUCAUCCCGUGACAGUUGUAGAACCGAAAGGACCACUGAAAUCCAACGGGACGACCAAAGAUACGUCGUGUCUCCGAAACUUGGUGUCAUAUGCUCUCAAACUUGGCGCAGACACCCCAAUCACCAUUGUCAGCAAAGAUGGUGCUUCAAUGUGUGGUGUUUUCUGUGCUGUGUUUAACUCCAUACAACAAAUCACUAUGGACGACAACAUUGACGUGUUUACAACAGUACGACAACUACAGACAAGGAGACCAGAGUUCUGUUCCACACAGGAGGAGUAUUUGUUGGUGUACAGGGCGCUGUGGGAUUACAUAGAGACGACCUCAGAGUCUGUCUACUGUAAUCAGUAGUCUACAGCGGUCAGAGGAUAAACAAAUCGCGUGUACCCACGGAGGGGGGAUAGAGGAUAAACAGUGCUCGUGUACCCUCAUGUGAUAGAUCUCUAUACCACCAUGGUGGAAUCUUAAAUCAGUUACCGCCAUAUUCGGCAUAAUAAUGUUAGAGGAACUUUGGUGUAUUUUCAUAGAAUAUUAACGUUUUCUUUUACAUGCAUAUGUACUUUUUAAAAUGGUCACCAUAUUUUAUGAGGAAGCUUAGCAUUUUUUUAACACCAUUUGAAUGAAAUCCGCUUAAUAGAUUCUAGAUGUAAUCAUUUGCUUCGAUAUUGUAUAUGUAUUCAUUAUGAAAGACAUGUAAUAAUUGUCAUACUUUAAUAUUUUUUACACUAUUCAUAGGCAUGUCUUUUUUCUUGUAAUUAUAAUAAUAUGUCAUGUACUUGUUUGUUCUGGACUCUGAAUUAGAAAUAAAUGAUCUGUAUCUGUAUCUGUACUAGUAUUGUCACGCUACUUUUUUGUGCAUUUUCGUGGAAAAUGAAUUAUAAACUUAAAAUGUGUUCACUCCACAUAGUAAUCAGCUAGUUAAGAGGAUUCAACGUAAAGUGGAGUAACAGUUUAAACAUGAACUGUUUAAUUUGCAUUGUACUGUAUGAUAUACAUUGUUUAACACGUGAUGCAAAGCUUCAUCUACUCUAGGGUCAUUGGUUACUUUAUGGGUAAGGUUCAUUUUAGGGGGUUUCCCCCAUUUAAUUUGUAAAAUUUAUUCAUCAUUUGUUGCACCUCUUGGCUAAUGUUCUGUCAUUUUGAUAUAGUAUAGUUUAUUAGUUUUUAUGCACAUUUGUAUUACUUACCGAAUUAUGUUAAAGCUUUACAGGGACAUGGUCUCGAGUUAAUUUUUUUUAUUUCAUUUUCAAAUUUUAUAUUGCCGUGUUCUACGUUGAUUUGUCAAGCAAUCUUUAAGCGCAAUUCAAGAAUGUCUUCUGUCGAGUUACACUGAGCGAGAUACGUACUGGGCUCUUGACCGUGUUCCUUUGAAUGACUUCAUAUAAUAUCUUGACUUAGCAUUACAAUCAUCAUUCAGUGAAUACUGUUUUAAUUCAGAUUUAUUAAUAAAAGGCUUUUUACAAAA
rnacentral:misc_RNA from 1 species